UACAGAGGGUGCAAGCGUUAAUCGGAAUUACUGGGCGUAAAGGGUGCGUAGGUGGGCGUGUAAGUUGGAUGUGAAAGCCCCGGGCUUAACCUGGGAGGGUCAUCCAAUACUGCAUGUCUAGAGUAUGGUAGAGGGUAGUAGAAUUUCCGGUGUAGCGGUGAAAUGCGUAGAGAUCGGAAGGAAUAUCAAUGGCGAAGGCAGCUACCUGGGCCAAUACUGACACUGAGGCACGAAAGCAUGGGGAGCAAACAGG
rnacentral:rRNA from 2 species